AUUGAACGCUGGCGGCAGGCCUAACACAUGCAAGUCGGGCGGAGAGGCGGACGGGUGAGUAAUGUAUGGGGAUCUGCCUGAUGGCGGGGGAUAACUACUGGAAACGGUAGCUAAUACCGCAUACCAUCAGAUGAACCCAUAUGGGAUUAGCUUGUAGGUGAGGUAACGGCUAACCUAGGCGACGAUCCCUAGCUGGUCUGAGAGGAUGAUCAGUCACACUGGAACUGAGACACGGUCCGGACUCCUACGUGAGGCAGCAUUGGGGAAUAUUGGACAAUGGGCGAAAGCCUGAUCCAGCCAUGCCGCGUGUGUGAAGAAGGUCUUCGGAUUGUAAAGCACUUUAAGUUUGGAGGCGUUACCGACAGAAUAAGCACCGGCUAACUCUGUGCCAGCAGCCGCGGUAAUAC
rnacentral:rRNA from 1 species